rnacentral:lncRNA from 1 species
UUCGAUUUAGGAGCCAGUAGUCUGUCUUGGCCUGACUCAUCUAAAAUGCCUGUGAUUAGUAAGCCAACUUUAUUUGGUUCAGACAAAUGUUUUCAUCACAAAUUAAAAUAUAUAACUACAUCUGGUGUCCUCUUAGGGCUGGAUUCAUCAUUAACUAAAAGCAAAGCACAUUCAGUGGAGUGUUUCCGGUUGGUUGGUUUUCUUGUUUUCCACCUAUAAUGAGUGCAUUGUCUUCAUCAGAGUUAACAGUUUCUUUGCUGUCAGUGAUGAACAGGACCUGUGCAGCGCUGUGGCUGAACUGAAGCAAGCUCACCAGCAGAUGAACAAGCAGAAGAGCAGCCUGUUGAUGAUGGUGACUCAGUGUGAAGAUGAGAACCUGCAGCUCAGUGUGGAAGUCACUGAGCUGCAGGCACAACUGGACAGCGCUCAGCGGUCAACGCAGGCAGUGAGAUAUCUCACAGACGAACUGGAGGAGACCCAGCAGAUUUUAAGAGAGACCCAGGAGAGAGCUGGCCAAACCCAGCGCAGCUUCUCCAAACUGGUACAUCAAAGACGCGCCUCAGAAGUUAUCUUUAAAGCAGGAUUUUAUUUUUCACACAGAUGUUUUUUCUGGUUUGGGUUUUAGAGCAACGAUGUUAAAUCUCUUAAAGUUCACGUUAAAAGGCUUGAAGACAAGGUAGUCUCCAACCUUCUUCGCUUUGAAAAAGUAAAGAUGGUGCCCUUUGUUUAAAUAGUAAGAUGUUUUCUUUUUGUCAUCGACAGAAUGAAAAGCUCACUUUUGAAAAGACAAGAGCUGAGGAUGACCUGAACAAACUGAAGAAGGUCAACUCAGAGCUGAGGGUUUGUGUGAAGCUUUGGUCUGUACGUCUCAGAAAUACAGGUCUGAAUUCUGGGUUGAACACUUUCUUUUUGCAGAACGAACUCGAAGAAACUUUCUUCAUGCUGAUGCUGAGGGGCAGAGAGAUAACAAAGAAGGACAUAAUCAUGGACAAGAUGAAGAAUUCUCACGUGGAGAACCACAAAAUGAUCAAGGUAUAUUUGAAAAGAAAGAGACCGAAAAAAUGA